rnacentral:rRNA from 1 species
UACGUAGGGCGCAAGCGUUGUCCGGAAUUAUUGGGCGUAAAGAGCUCGUAGGCGGCUUGUCACGUCGGGUGUGAAAGCCCCGGGGCUUAACCCCGGGUCUGCAUUCGAUACGGGCUAGCUAGAGUGUGGUAGGGGGAGAUCGGAAUCCUGGUGUAGCGGUGAAAUGCGCAGAUAUCAGGAGGAACACCGAUUGCGAAGGCAGCUCGCUGGAACGUUACUGAGCUGAGACGCGAAAGCGUGGGGAGCAAACAGG